rnacentral:rRNA from 1 species
GGCUUAACACAUGCAAGUCGAGGGGCAGCAUGGUCUUAGCUUGCUAAGGCCGAUGGCGACCGGCGCACGGGUGAGUAACGCGUAUCCAACCUGCCUUACACUCUUGGACAGCCUUCUGAAAGGGAGAUUAAUACAAGAUGUUAUCAUGAGUAAGCAUUUUCGCAUGAUUAAAGGUUUACCGGUGUAAGAUGGGGAUGCGUUCCAUUAGAUAGUAGGCGGGGUAACGGCCCACCUAGUCUUCGAUGGAUAGGGGUUCUGAGAGGAAGGUCCCCCACAUUGGAACUGAGACACGGUCCAAACUCCUACGGGAGGCAGCAGUGAGGAAUAUUGGUCAAUGGACGAGAGUCUGAACCAGCCAAGUAGCGUGAAGGAUGAAGGUUCUAUGGAUUGUAAACUUCUUUUAUACGGGAAUAAACGAAUCCACGCGUGGAUUUUUGCAUGUACCGUAUGAAUAAGGAUCGGCUAACUCCGUGCCAGCAGCCGCGGUAAUACGGAGGAUCCGAGCGUUAUCCGGAUUUAUUGGGUUUAAAGGGAGCGUAGAUGGGUUGUUAAGUCAGUUGUGAAAGUUUGCGGCUCAACCGUAAAAUUGCAAUUGAUACUGGCAGUCUUGAGUACAGUUGAGGUAGGCGGAAUUCGUGGUGUAGCGGUGAAAUGCUUAGAUAUCACGAAGAACUCCGAUUGCGAAGGCAGCUUACUAACCUGUAACUGACAUUGAUGCUCGAAAGUGUGGGUAUCAAACAGGAUUAGAUACCCUGGUAGUCCACACGGUAAACGAUGAAUACUCGCUGUAGGCGAUAUACAGUCUGCGGCCAAGCGAAAGCAUUAAGUAUUCCACCUGGGGAGUACGCCGGCAACGGUGAAACUCAAAGGAAUUGACGGGGGCCCGCACAAGCGGAGGAACAUGUGGUUUAAUUCGAUGAUACGCGAGGAACCUUACCCGGGCUUAAAUUGCAACCGAAUAUGGCGGAAACGCUAUAGCUAGCAAUAGCGGUUGUGAAGGUGCUGCAUGGUUGUCGUCAGCUCGUGCCGUGAGGUGUCGGCUUAAGUGCCAUAACGAGCGCAACCCUUGCCGAUAGUUACUAACAGGUUAUGCUGAGGACUCUGUCGGGACUGCCAUCGUAAGAUGUGAGGAAGGUGGGGAUGACGUCAAAUCAGCACGGCCCUUACGUCCGGGGCUACACACGUGUUACAAUGGGGGGUACAGAGGGCUGCUACCACGCAAGUGGAUGCCAAUCCCAAAAACCUCUCUCAGUUCGGAUUGAAGUCUGCAACCCGACCUCAUGAAGCUGGAUUCGCUAGUAAUCGCGCAUCAGCCACGGCGCGGUGAAUACGUUCCCGGGCCUUGUACACACCGCCCGUCAAGCCAUGGGAGCCGGGGGUACCUGAAGUGCGUAACCGCAAGGAGCGCCCUAGGGUAAAACUGGUGACUGGGGCUAAG